rnacentral:rRNA from 1 species
UACGUAGGGGGCAAGCGUUGUCUGGAUUUAUUGGGCGUAAAGAGCGUGUAGGCGGCCGCACAGGUCCGUUGUGAAAACUGGAGGCUUAACCUUCAGACGUCGAUGGAAACCGUGCGGCUAGAGUCCGGAAGAGGAGAAUGGAAUUCCUGGUGUAGCGGUGAAAUGCGCAGAUAUCAGGAAGAACACCCGUGGCUAAGGCGGUUCUCUAGUACGGUACUGACGCUGAGACGCGAAAGCGUGGGGAGCAAACAGG